rnacentral:rRNA from 1 species
GACGAACGCUGGCGGCGCGCUUAAUACAUGCAAGUCGAGCGGGGUCCAUCCAGUGGCAACACUGGUGAAGACCUAGCGGCGAACGGGUGAGUAACACGUGAGGAACCUGCCCCAGAGACCGGGAUAACUCUCCGAAAGGAGAGCUAAUACCGGAUACACCCACCGGAUCGCAUGGUCUGGUGAGGAAAUGGAUUCCGCUCUGGGAGGGCCUCGCGGCCUAUCAGCNGUUGGUGAGGUAACGGCUCACCAAGGACGUCGACGGGUAGCUGGUCUGAGAGGACGGAUCAGCCACACUGGGACGUGAGACACGGCCCCGACCUCCUU